UACGUAGGGUGCGAGCGUUAAUCGGAAUUACUGGGCGUAAAGCGUGCGCAGGCGGUUUUGUAAGCCAGAUGUGAAAUCCCCGGGCUUAACCUGGGAAUGGCAUUUGGGACUGCAAGGCUCGAGUGCGGCAGAGGAGACUGGAAUUCCUGGUGUAGCAGUGAAAUGCGUAGAUAUCAGGAGGAACACCGGUGGCGAAGGCGGCCUGCUGGGCAGUUGCUGACACUGAGGCGCGACAGCGUGGGGAGCAAACAGG
rnacentral:rRNA from 1 species